rnacentral:rRNA from 1 species
UACGUAGGGUGCGAGCGUUGUCCGGAAUUAUCAGGCGUAAAGGGCUCGUAGGCGGUUUGUCGCGUCGGGAGUGAAAACCAUGGGCUUAACUCAUGGCUUGCUUCCGAUACGGGCAGACUAGAGGUAUGCAGGGGAGAACGGAAUUCCUGGUGUAGCGGUGAAAUGCGCAGAUAUCAGGAGGAACACCGGUGGCGAAGGCGGUUCUCUGGGCAUUACCUGACGCUGAGGAGCGAAAGUGUGGGGAGCGAACAGG